CAUAUUAUUGUUCAAGUUGCUCUUUGGUUUUCCAUAUGCACAGUAAAAUUACGAAAUUUCCCAUGUUAACAUGCGUAUCUGUGUUGUGAGCUGUCGUUCAUGCUUUUCUCGGUGGUUUAUGGAAUUCGACAUCAACUGUUUUCACACCAUCGAACGAAUCGACUCAUCCCAAUCUCCUGCACCUCUGCCUUCCUGCUCCAGUGCUCCAUUUUCGAUAGCCUUCCUCAUUUUUCAACGAGAUUCUUCAAUCAAACAAAACCACCGCCAACUCUGUAAAUUGCUUUUCCACCUGUUCACCCAAAUUCGAUGUAACACGCGAGAACCGCGACGUACCACCACUCCAUCCUCGCAUUUUCCAUAACCCUCUAUACGGAAGGGUUCCAAGGAUUGAAAAAAUUAUGGGUUCUUGGAGGAUUGGAGUGAGUGAAUCUUCCUUCCGCCUCUUCGCCUCAUCUGGCAAAACAUCGUCCCAUUUAGCUCUGUUGCUCGCAAUUAACAGAAAAAUAUUCGAAACCUAAAACCCUCAAACCAGCAAAGCGAAUUCCCACACUUAAAAUUCGAACCCAACAAAUCGAUUUCAAGUGCUAAGCGGCUAGGUUCUAGGUCUUCUAAUUCCGGCGAGCUGUUUUCGUACGAAUGCCGGCAAACCGUACCGUGUCGUCGUCUUGCCUUCGUCUUUCAGUUUCGAAAUUCCAAUUUAAGCGGUCGAUGAAAGCAGAGUGGGUAAGAUCAGUUGCUCUGCAGCCUCACCCUCCAAACGCUACCCCAUCACUUUGCCUCUCGGCGAUGGCAUUGGCCUCAACCUCGCCCCCUCCAUCGAUGGUUUCUUUUAAUUCUGCUUCCGUUUUCUGAAUUUUAUUUCAGGUGCCUGAGAAACGGUGGGAAAAUUAAAAGGAAAAGUCUUUUAAUUUUCCCAUAUUUUCUUUGGGUUAAUGUUUAACAAUUUGAGCUGCUCUGUGUGUUGUAUAUUCGAGAAAUUUUGUUGGGAAAUUAGUAAUUAUAUAACAUUUGGAUAUUUGUAUAACUGAAUAUGUUUACAUAAACUAGAGAUUGAUUUUAAGUAUGAAGAAGUACCUAUUGGUGGAGCUGGCUUAGAUUUGACUGGAGUGCCAUUACCUGAUGAGACCCUUUUGUCAGCUAAGCAAUCGACGCAAUUAUUCUUCUCGAAGCAGUUGGGGAAUUUGAAAUUUAUUGAGGGGGCCUAAUGUUACCAUUGAUGAAGUCUGCGCUUUUGGAAGGUAAGUAGUGAUAUUUAAUUAUUGUUUAUUGCAUUUUGUCAAAUUUUAUGGGAAAUUUUCUGAAUUAGGUGUGUGCUUGAUCCGAAAAAGUCUCAGAACAUUGCAAUUCUUGCUUAUUGCAUUGUGUCCAAUUUGGAAGGUAAGUUGUGAUUCUGUAAGGAUGUAUUGAUUCUGUGUUUUUCCACAUCUAAUUUCUAAAAAUGAUUUCCAUCCGUUCAGAAAUAAAAAAAUAAAAAUAAAUAAAUGAUUUCCAUUUUGCACAAAAUAAAAUAUAAGUUUCCCGAAUGAGAUUGUAAAUUUGGCUAACUUGGAGGUUUUGGGGAUGCUGAGAACCAAUUAUCAGGUCACAUUCCCCCGGGUGUAGGAAAGGUUCACAAGUUAUAUCUAUUAAAUGCGAGUAGGAACUCUCUCUCUUUGGCAAUCUUACAUCCUCUUUCGGAAAUUUAAGUCAAUUAAAUGAGUUAAGCUUAGAAGGCAACAACUUCCAGGCAAUAUCCUGCCAAGUUUAAUAGUGUGUCAGAAUUUGAGGCUUUUAUAUCUUGGUGAGAACAGUUUUAGUGGUAUCAUAUCGCAAGAAAUCAUUGAUCUGUUGAACUUGUAUAUAUUUAGUUUACCUCAAGAUCAUUUUCUCGGCUCCCUACCAGAGGACGUAGGAAUUUUAAUAAAUCUUGAGUAUAUAGAUAUCUUUGAAAACAUGUUAUUCAGUGAAAUUCCAGCAAGUGUAGUUAGUUGUAUAAAAUUAGAGUACCUAGACAUGCAUGGAAAUUUCUUCCAUGGGACGAUUCCAUCAACUUUGAGUUCACUAAGAGUUCUUACAGAAUUCUAUCUUUCUGACGACUUGUCAGGAGCAAUUCCAGAAUUCUUAGAACGUUUGAAUUUUUUGGAAUCUCUGAAUCUAUCUUAUAACAAUUUUGAGGGCAUGUUGCCGAUCAAGGGAGUGUUCAAGAAUGCAAUGGCGACAUCAGUUGAAGGAAAUAGCAAGCUUUCUGGGGGCAUAUCUGAAUUUCAUUUGCCAAAGUGCAACUCUCCAGCAUCCAAAAAAAGGAAGGAUUGAGCUUAACCAUGAAAUUGGUUCUCUCUCAUUUGUGGGAUUUUUGGAGUUAUUUUUGCACUAACCUUUUUGUACCUUUAUUGCUCACGGAGGGAUAAAAAAGAUCGCACUUAAAGUGAUUUAGACAAACUUCCCCAGAUCUAUCAUACCAAAGUCUUCUAAGAGCAACAAAUGGAUUCUCCUCAACCAACUUGGUCGGUAUGGGCAGUUUUGGGUCCGUUUAUAAGGGAAUACUUGAGCAAGGUUAAACUACAAUUGCGAUCAAGGUACUCAACCAUGUUCAUUUAGCAGGGCUUACAAAAGUUUUAUUUAUGAGUGCGAGGCUUUCCGAAAUAUUGGACACCGUAAUCUUGUCAAGAUAGUCUCAGCAUGUUCUGGUUUUGAUUAUCGCGGUCACGACUUCAAGGCCUUAAUUUACGAGUUCAUGGCUAACGGGAGCUUGGAGGAAUGGCUAUAUCCAAUUCAUACAAUUGGUGAGACAAAUGAGAGGCCAAGGAGCUUAACAAUUUCUCAGAGUUUGAAUAUUGUUUUUGAUGUUGCUAUGGCAUUGGAUUAUCUCCAUCGUCAUUGUGAGACGCCAAUAGUUCAUUGCAACCUCAAACCUAGCAAUAUUCUUCUCAAUGAGGAUAUGAUUGCACAUGUAGGUGACUUUGGGUUGGUGAGGUUCCUACCAAAAGUUGCUGAAACACUACGAAAAAUAUGGGAUUUGGUGUACACAAAUGAAGAGUUUGUCUUUGAGAACACUAAUAUGGUGGAGCAGUGUCCAUUCAAUAAAGGAUACAAUGUAUUGUACUCAGUGUAAAAAGAAAUGGACACAAACACAUUAUUGGGCACGGAGCCAUGCCAAGUAGUGCAUAUAUAUAUAUAUAUAUAUAUAUAUAUAAUUAUUGGUCUGACAAUUGUAUGACAAAAUAUAGGCACAAAAACUUUUAGUGUCUAUAAAUAGACAGUAGCGCACAAUUUGUUUGUGUCUGUGGAACAUGCGAACAUCUUUUUGCUGAAUUGUGAUGUUUCCAUUUCUACUA